CCUACGGGAGGCAGCAGUGAGGAAUAUUGGUCAAUGGGCGAGAGCCUGAACCAGCCAAGUCGCGUGAAGGAUGACGGCCCUACGGGUUGUAAACUUCUUUUGUCAGGGAGCAAUUGAGUCCACGUGUGGGCUUAGCGAGAGUACCUGAAGAAAAGGCAUCGGCUAACUCCGUGCCAGCAGCCGCGGUAAUACGGAGGAUGCGAGGGUUAUCCGAAUUUUUUGGGUUUAAGGGGUGCGUAGGCGGAAUAUCAAGUCAGCGGGAAAAAUUCGGGGCUCAACCCCGCCGUGCCGUUGAAACUGGUGUUCUUGAGUGGGCGAGAAGUAUGCGGAAUGCGUGGUGUAGCGGUGAAAUGCAUAGAUAUCACGAAGAACCCCGAUUGCGAAGGCAGCAUACCGGCGCCCAACUGACGCUGAAGCACGAAAGCGUGGGUAUCGAACAGGAUUAGAUACCCUAGUAGUC
rnacentral:rRNA from 1 species